UUCAAGUACAAGAAUUAUAGGGUCACUGUUUUCUGAAAAGUAUGUAUGCUAUAUAAAUGACAUUGAAGUUUCAUUUUAUUUUUCUAAUCACUAAAAUGUGUGAUAUAAUUUAUUUUUCCAAAUUAUCAAGGUAUAUCAGAAUUCCAUGCUUUGUAGUUAUCUGAUACAUGGCAAAAAUGGAACUUUCUAAUUCGUACGACUUUUAUACCAAUCAUCUAGUAGUUGCAGAAAUAUUGAGACUCAUAAUUUUUAAAUUUAUAAAUAUAUUGCAAUUCCUAUUGUCUUUUACAAUGAAGAUGACACAUUGAGAGUUGAUAAAGCGAUCAUGGAGCUCAGAAUUUUUCGUGUUUGUUUGAAUCCCAGAGGAGCAAUUUAUAAACACUAUAUAUUUAUUUACUCUAUUCUCAGAACAGUUGACUGUUUUGUCAUUUGAAUUACACAUUUCAAAAAAAAAAAAAAAAAGAAUGACACAUUGGGUAUUCAGUUGUCUUUCUGAGACUUAAUGAGGCUAAUGAUUCAAAGUUUUUUUUUUAAAUAAUCAACAUUCAUGAAGAUUUUGUACUACCUCUUGGAACACAUAUAAAAUUUUGUAUGUGUUCCCUUAUUGCAUGACAAUAUUCAAGACAACUUUGUAAAUAAUAGUCAAAUACAAAAUUUUAACAUCUAGUUUUUCUAGAUGUAUAGAGUGUCACAGGGUAUAAUUUUGUAAAUACAUCAGUAUGAGCUUUUAUGCUUUUUAAAUUUUUUUGAGUGUGAUUUUUAAAAAUUGAUCUUGUUUGUUACUUGUUAAUAAAUAACAUAGAAGAAUGAGAAAAAGUAUUUUAAGUUCAACACUGGCUACUCAUCUACUGGAAAAAUUUCAUUAACCUUAGUGUAAGGCUUAUUGGACACACAAAACUAUUUAUAAUGGCAUACAUAAAUUAUAGUCAUGUGGUUGUAGUAAUAAAAGGUCAUUAUCUAAACAUUUGUAUUUAGGCAUUAUAGGAAAUAUGUCUUGGAAGAGUUUCGUCUACAUUUGUGAUUGAGUUAAUACAGUAUUAUAUUUACGGUACAUGACAGCACUCAAGACAUGCUGUAAAUAUAUACAUAUAUUUAUGCCAGUUUGAAAUAUCUUUUUUACAGAUGCAUUCUUAACACAGUAUAAGCCUGUAAAUAUUUCAUUAUGACCUAACAUUAAUUAAAUUAUACCAGUAAAUUCUUUUACAAUGGAAUAGAUAAAUACUAUUAAAAUAUUAAAUAUAAAACUGUUUAUGAAUAGUUUCUCAUGUAGAGAAGAACAAGCCAGUUUUUCUAUACUGUUUACAUGAAGCAAAAUUACAGGAAAAAAAUUGGGUGCUUUUUAUCUCCAAGAUAGAUAAACUAUGAAAAACUAUUAAUAAAUUUUAAGUUAAUUAGAAAAAUUUUCAAAAUCAUUGUUAGUCCACGAUUUACCAUUGGCAUGCUUAUUUACUUUUACCUGCAGUGAUUGCAUUCACAUAUUUAGGUCAUAAUAGUAUAUAGAUUAAAUACUUUUAAAUUAUGUUUAUAUUGUGGAUUUCAAUUUAUAUUCUGGUUUACAACUUAUAAAGAUAGUAUUUCAUUUAUAAUUCAGUUAAUUCUGCAAUCUCAAUGUUAUGACUAAAUUCAAUUUGUGGUAAAUACAUAUCCUGUAACUUUUCUAAAUGUUUUAAUAUGUUUAUAUAUCUUUAAGCUAUUUUAAAAUUUUGUAUAUUUUCAUCUAGUAUUAUUAAAGGUAAAUACCUAGUAUAGUGUACGAAAAAACAGCCUGUAUCACAUUAAAAGCAAUCAAGAGAAAUUAAAAUCAGAGUUAGGAUUAAUGAGUAACAUUUAUCCCAGCACCUUUCAAGAUUAUACACAGCUCCGUACUCAGUUUGUGGACAGCCUGAGCUCAUUUGGCCUUGUGUCAAAAGAAAGUGUGAAAACAGAAAAACUGAACACAUCCCUUCAACACAAAAGGAAUUGUAAGAAUAUGUAUUAUUUGUUGCAAUUUUAGAGUUAUCUCCUAAUAUUUCAUCAUUUGUGAUUCUCAAAUGUAAUUUGAUUUUUUUUGUUGGACAGUAAGAUAGCCAAAUACCAGAUCUACGAAAAGAACAUAAGGAUUGCAGCUUAAGGUGAAUGUAAUUUAACAGUGAAAUAUUCUCUAGAAGAGGGGUGUUGUAUUAUAAAUUAAAAAAAGAAACAAGUUGCCUUCUUGUAGACAUACUUUAGUUCAUACUAAAAGAGAUAGUUAAGAAAUUCCUGAUUAUGCAUAUGUUGUGUCAUUAAGGAAAUUAAUACUUUUGUAUCAUAAUAUGUAUUAUUUUACAGUAAUAAUUGAAGAUUUGUGCAAGUCAAUUAAACUAUACAUGCUUGGAAAUUGCCACAUGGGACCAUCUUGAAUGAACAGUUUAUGCAAACAGAAAACAUGUUCAGGAAGAAUGUUAAAAUUUUAACACUUGUAAAUAGAAAGAAGAUGACAUUUGCCUGUCUUUGUAAUUUAUGAGGGUAUUUGCAAAUAAGCAUCAAAACAAGAAGAAAAUAUUAAAAAGACAUUUUGUGCCAGGACAUCAUGGUAGUGCUGGAUUGCCUAUCCAACUCUGUAUAAAGGUUUUUCAAACAAUUUGUGAAGAAUGUUAGUAUCUUCAGAGUCUUCUGCAUCAGCAAAGAGUAGUGCAUUAACUAAUGGAAAAGAGAAGAUAAAAUUUCUGGUAAGUAUUAGUGACACAUAUGAGUGAAAUAUAAUGUUUUAGCUAGGAUUUAAUGCUGUGAAGAGACACCAUGAAUGUGAGUAUCCUUAUAAAGGGGAAUAAUUGGUGCUGUCUUACAGUUUUAGAAAAUUAGUUCAUUUUUUGUCAUAAUGGGGAACAUGGCAUUGUACUGGCAGAUAUGGUGUUGGAGGAGCUGAGAAUUCUGCAUCUUGAUCAGUAGGCAGCAAGGAGUGACCAUGUGCCCUGCUGGGCAUUGCUUUAGUAUAGGAUACCUGAAAACCUGCCCCUGCAAACAGGCCACAUGUCCUAAUAAUGUCAUUUCCUAUGAACUGAACAUACAACACAUGAAUCUAUGUGACAAGUCCUGUUAAAUGUAUCACACGUAGAAACUAAAAAGUAUUCAGCAAUAAAUAUUGGUAAUGUCAGUCAUGCUUAUGAAUAUAGCAUGCUGUAUCUUAUGUUUUUGUUAUGUCUCAUUUAGGAUGAGUUGCAAGUUGUCUACUACAUUUUUCUUAGAAUAUAACUCAGGAUCAGAAACAGGCCGAAACACUUUUCCAAUCAUCCAAAUUACUUUUUUUAUUAAUGAGACAUGGCUGUUCUAGAACUCACUCUAGACCAGGUUGGCCUCAACCCCGAAAUCGGUGUCUUCCAAGUGCUGGGAUUAAAGACAUGUGCCACCACUGCCAAGCCUGUAAAUAUAUAAAUUAUAUAAAUAAAUAACAGGAUUGUGCUUACUUUGUUGGAUGUGUUUGAUUUGCCUGAGGGAUUUCCAGUAUAUACUCAUAUAGAUAUAGAUAUAGCUAGAUAGAUAUGUAUAUAAGUAGAUAGAUAGAUAGAUACAUACAUACAUACAUAAUUCUUUCAAAUGUACAGACGGAUACUUUAAAUAGUAACAUAAUUUAAAUAAAAACUUGGAGUGUUCAAGAAGAUAAUUUAGCUGUUAUGCACACCAACUGUAUUUAUUAAUGACCUUAGGUCUGUUCCCAUCUAUCAGUUGCUGCCUACAACUACAGCUCCGGUGUACAUCUUGCCUCAGACACCUGUCCCAUGUACAGGUACAUGCACUUGAAUGUAAAGUAAGAUGCUAGGGUCAAAGCUAAAUUUACAACAUACAGUACAUUUUCAGAGGACUUAAGUUAGGAUUUCGGCAGCUAAUCACAUCUAUCUUUUGUAGUAUCUGAAACCUCUGCUCUAUGAGGGCUCAAUGGAAAAUGGAUAGAAGCAUUUGGUAUUAAAUAUAAAUUGUUUUUUUUGUUCAAGACCAGGCUAAUUCUCAUUUUUUUUUCCGUAUACAUCCUACUCUAUAUUGGGUACUUUAUUUUUCAGGUGCUCAUGAUGACUAGUCCGAACCUGUGAACUUCUGAGAAAAUUUACAGUUCUGAAAACUAGAGGUGGUUACCGAAUUGAAUAGCCGUUGGUUCUACAGCCACUAUAAUGAUCUGAAAAGUUGAAUGUGUUGCAUGAACACUUUCAGGAAUCAUAAUAGAACUCAGCUAAUUAGAUAGAGACUGGAAUGUUGAUUUGAAGACAAUUACUUUAUAAAGAUUUUCUCAUUGCUGCUUUUGCAUUAUCCCAAGAAGUGGAGACACUACUACAUGGAUAAGAACUGUAUGAUUGAAUUGACUUUGGAAUCAUCUCAGUAUUGUCAUAAAAUAUUCACUGUAUGUAGUCAAUUUUUUCCUCAGAGUUGAUGGUUAUAAAUACUUGUCAAGUUGGAAAAAUUCACUUUUACUUUUAUUUGCAUCACACUUACUAGAUUAGAGACUAGAUUGCUUUAAAUUGAGUCUUCAUUUACAACUUCAAGGAUUCAGUUAUUCGUGGGUGCGAGGGGGACCACAAACCUGGAAGGAAAUGGGAGGAAGAAAAAGAGAAACAGGAGACCAAGAAGAUGGUACCUAUCAAGGUCUCGUUUAUUGGGCUGAGGAAUUUUCCAGUACCUGUAAUUUCUCCAUUCUUGACUCUGCCUUAAAUUCAACUAGACAGCUGGCUUUUAAGACCGACUUGAGUAUUCUGGGAUUACAGUCAAAUAUUACAACACCAGGUUUAUUUGGUUCCAGCAUUCAAAUUCAGAGAUUUCCCCAGGCUGGACAACUGCUAAAUCAACUGAACUACUAUAUCUCUAGCUAAAGAAUGUGGUUUUUCUCUGAUCCAGGAGUAGUGUGGCCCAACUCUACUCCUAUCUACUUAAAAGACAACACAGGAGGCCUGCACAUUUGAGGUCACCUUGACAACACUGAAACCUCUUCUUCCCAUCUCAACAAUAAAAAGGUGGUGAAUAUCUUCAGAUACACAUCAAAUAUGCCUUUCUGAAGGUUUCAUCUACAGCAUCUCCCAAAUACCAUUAUAUAUUUAUUGUUUCUGGAGUAUUAUUUUACCUUUAUUAUCUCACAACUUCUAUAGAAGAUUUCCAAGGAAUAGAAAUGACCUGCUCUUGGCAAGUAAUUGCCCAAAAUGUUCAAUACUUCUGUUUUGAGUAUAUCUUGAACUCUCAUAUUGUUUGUUGCUUAUUAUCUUUUAUUCAUAUUUUAAUUUGCAAAUGGGAGAAACUUUUCUAAGUGGGUUGCAUAGCUAAUGUAUAUAAACAUUUUUAUGAUACUUCAGAUUAUAGCAACAUUUUCUGACUAAUUGAAUCUCCCUCUAUAUCAGUUUUGUUAUCGUUUGUGAGAUAUCUUCUUCCUCCUUUGAAUAAGAAACUCAGAUUUUAGGCAGGCCCUAAAGAAGAUUGUUUGGUACAGUGGUGUUCUUUAGAGAAGAUGCUCUGGUGCUAUUUUUGCUGAUAUUAUGGUCUCUGUCUAGUGGAGCAAUAUGAGUCUCUAUGGUUUGCUUUUUCUCCAAUAUGACUACUGGAGACUUUGAUGCCCUUGUAACUGAGUGGGUUGAGAAAUGUUGUCCUUGCACUGAUAAGGAGAGACAUAGUGAUGCUAUAUUGUAGAAUGUGUGGCAUCAUAUUUUUUUGAUAUCACUUUUCAGGUGUGAGUGAAAUCUCAAUGUUUCAAAGUGAUUUUUAGUUUUCUGUGUAAUGUGGGUUUUUUAUGUUAAUCUCCUUAAACUAAGUAAUGUGAAGUAGUGAUUAUUUUCAAUAUUAGUUGUGUGUUUCUAGAUAAGUCACCAGUUCAUUUGAAAACGACUGCCUUUCUCAACUGGUUUUAAUAAUUGUAAGAGUGAAAAUAAUUGGUAAGAAUUUUAAAGUGUCUGGAUAUAUAUGUCUGUAUGUGUGUAUGUUUGUGUCAGGUGUCUGUAGAAGUCAGAAAUGAAAUUCAGGAUUAUAUACUAAUUUUAUUUUGAAUGCUUGAAUUGUUUCCUUACACAUUACUUAAUAGGUGUCAGUAAGAAGGCUCAAUGGAAAAAGCCAACUGGGAACUCCAGUUGGAUCACUGGAACCCAGGUUAUGUGUAAGACAGAAUAUAGCUGACAACAGAACACUUCACAGAUUAUUUUUAAUCUCAUAAAUUUGUAGUACAAUCCAUAUCGCCUUACUCAUUAUAUUAUUAUUACAUUUUAGUGAUAUCCUGAGGUGCAUCCUGGAUUCUUUUUAUAAUGCUCAUUUAUUUUGUAUGCAGUGUUGUUUUUCUUGUUUUAAUUGCAAGAUUAAAUUAGUGUAUUUCAAUUAGUCUUUCAUAUUUACAUUUUCUGGGGUCAGAUUGCUUAUGAUUAAUCAGACACCACUACAACUUGUCAGUUUGUGUUAAGGGCCACAAAACUUUUUAAAAACACUAGAUUUACAGACCAUAUUUUUGAAACUAGGAAUCUGUUCUUGUAGUACAAGAACAAUUAAGGCUAAUCAUUAAACCAUGCCCCCAGAAAUAGUUGCAAUACACAAAUCUUGGGUUAUAUUUGUAUUUUAGCAGAUAGUUGUCUAACCUGUAGUCAGUUGUGUAGGUCUAGUUUCAUCCAGACAAUCUUUGGUAGAUUUAGGAUUAGAAGGUACAGAAAGAGUAUCUUUUCUUGUACAAGUUUCUGAAUGCUCUACAUGAGUGAUUCUCAACCUAUGGGUCCCAACCCCUUUGUGGGUCAAAUACACCUUUGACUAGGAUCACUUAAGACCAUUGGAAAGCACAGAUAUUUUACAUUACAAUUCAUAACAAUAGAAAAGCAUAGUUAUGAAGUAGCAUCAAAAAUAAUUUGAUGGCAGGAGGUCCCUAUUAUAUGAAGAGAUGUAUUAAAGGACUGUCAUAUUAACUAUUUUAAAAUUAGAUGUUUUAGUUCAUUAUAAUAUCAACAUCUAUUGUGAUCAAAUAAUUCUGUGGUCAUUAAUUGCUAAUCUGCUAUUCCAGUUCCAUAGCAGCUUAUGAUAAGGGAUAAACUUUCAUGGUAUAUAUACUUGUCAGUAACUUUCUUAUGUUUAUAUAAAUGUACAUGGAGAUUUUAGAUGGAAGAUCUUUGUAUUAAUGAUUUUUCCAUUUAAUCUAUCAUCGUGGUUUAUGGAGUUUACAAAAAUAUGUUUGCUGCUGCUUGUGAUGCUGUUGAUGAUGUGUAUAAUUAUUUAACUAUGAUAAUAUUUUUGAGUUCCUGCUUAUAUAAUAGUUUUCCAAGUAUGGUAAUAUUAAAUCAUCAUCUGUAUAUGUCUUUGGUUUCUGUCAAUAUUGUGAAGUUACCUGCAUAUGUUUUCUGGGUUAAGCCAGAGCAGUGGUGUAAUAUAGUGCUAAUUUUCAUAGUUUUGUUUAUACUAAGUUUCAAUGGCUUUGUACAUAACAGCCAAUCUAAUAGGUGAAAUAAUAUUUUAAAGCCUAAAUUAAGACUAAUUUUAAAUGCUUAAUGGCCAUGAUUUUAUAAAACUAAAUAGAUUUUCAGUUGUAGAAGCAACGUAAAGUUUCCAAAUUUUGCUAAGUUUACCUAGUGAUACAGCAAAGGUUGCAUAGUGAUACCUUGUCUCAAUGUUUGCAUUUUUUCAUAAAUUGCUUAAGUAUACACUAUGGUAACAAGCUUUUCUUUAUAUUUAAUUUUGAUGUAAUUAUAGAACCACAUGCUUUUUUAUAUAAUCUGACUUAUGCUCUGCAUUCAUUUCACUUAUUAUUCCCAUUACUCUUUCCCUCUCUAGUCUUCUCAUCUUAUUUCUGUUUAUACAUGUCACAGAACUUUGUUUUCAUUUAAGAUAUGCAGUUCACACUGGCCAAAAUUUUUCUGUGGUUAUUUUAUAACCACAUAAGUGUGCUUAUGUUCCUUUAAUCUUGGCUUAAAAUAUAAGAAAUGUUGAUUGUCUUGUUGA
rnacentral:lncRNA from 1 species